UAGGUGCGAAAUAAAACUGAUCUCAAUUUAAUUACAUUCGAAAAUGUGAUUUCCGACCUGAUAUCCUAUGAUGAACUUACAAAUCUACAAAUAUUAAAUUUAUGUUCCUCAUUUUUCAGUAACACAAAUACUUGUUCUAUUUUGACGAAGUUGAGAGCGCGAAACAAGUCCAAGAACUGUGUGAAGCUCCGCCGCGCCUCCUGUGAAGCCGGCUUUGUUUGAUUCAUAAUAACACUGUUGAUACUGCCGUGUCUUUAUGGAAAAUGGAUCAUACUCAUGGAUGGUGAAAUUAUGAUGUGUUUUUGUGUUACCGUUUCAAGCUUUUAUGUCAUUAAUCACGAGAAAUUUGCAAAAAUCCUUCAUAGACGCCCAUUCAUUGAUGAAAAUGUUGAAUGAAGCUAGUGAUCAAACGGUUAAAGUUCUGAAAGUUUGCAUGCAAAACGAGACCUUAUAGUUGAAGGCUUAGGUUAUACGUUUCAGAUAAGGCAUGAAGUGGUAUUAACGCUGUUGUUGAUAAUGCAUGUAACUCUCUUUCGCUUCUGCUUCCCUAGUAUUGCAAAUAGAAAUUGUGACGAGAUCCGAGGCCCGGUCACCGCCGCCAGCUCGCUGCAUACAUAGGCAAAGAGCGCCUUGAAUCAACCCUAUCCGCGAUUCUCAAGAGAUGCAGGCGAAAUAUGCGUUUAGUGCGAGGGACGCAUACAAGAGAGCAGCAACGGCGUGCACUGUCACCGCCGCGCCACGCUCCACUAACGGGACUUUGAGUGAGGCGCCGCGAGAACAAGAGCAAGGGCCUAGGGCUCCACAUAACGUAUUACCGUCAUUCGGCUGCUAGGCCUGUUGAAUCGAACCACAGUUGAUAUCCGUAUCAUUACCACUGCAGUACCCGCAAACAGCAGGACAAUACCAGGAGCUCAUAAGUUUGAAGGAGGUUCGAGGAUAAAACCCCGUACAAAUCAAAUUGAACUUUAAAAUGACCAAAGCAUUGAAUCCAAAAUAAGAUGGUAAUCCUUGUCCAUUGGAUCGACAAGUAUGAAAUCACAUUGAUUAAUACUGAAUUUAUUUUCAUACAAACUUUGUGCAUUAGUGUCAUUACUUUUUUUAUUCUUUUUUUUAUUAACCACAACUGUGAUAACUGCCUUGAAGCAAAGAAGCGGAAUAAAAUAAAUUAUAUACUUUGAAACGAAUUAUAUGUUGUGAUAUCAUAGUCAUGUUUGAUAUCAAAAUGAAGGUCUCGAAAUGAAUAAUUUGAAUAUAAUAUCAAUGUUUAAGAAUUUGUAACGGAAAACAUAUUGGAUGCGCGCAGUUUGCUCUCUAAAAACCGAACGUGAGUACGAUCGAUAUUACUCGGUCACCGCGGCGCCGACAGCACGUUAUUUUCAUAGCAGUAAAUCGUCCUUCUUUUUAUAAUAACUAAUGGAUUUAGUAACAUUUGCCUGUUUCAGACCAAGACCUUUAUUUUGAUACCAAACACGACAACACUACGACAAUUUUGAUAUGUAACAGUGUAGCGCUCUGUCCAACGCGUUCUUCAUAUUUAAAAAGUUAAGCAAAUAAAUGUAACUUCUUUACAAUGAUAUGAUAUUAUACAUGUAAAUACUUAAGUAUAGAACGAUAUUUGCCAAUUAAUCCUCUUUGAUAGAAUUUUCUUGACAAUUGCUUAGAAUAAAUGUGAGUGUAAAAUCAGUAAAAAGAUCUAUGAACACAGAAUGGACGAAUUAAUUGUACUUUUAGUUAUAAGAGAUUGGAUGAUGGUGAGACAUAAUAGUCAAGUUUGGUAUCAAAAUGAAGGUCUUAAUUUGAAUAUUGAAAACAUUUUUCGAGAGUUAAUUACAAAAAAUGUACUCGAUGCGCGCUGUUUGCUCCGAAAGAACCACCCGUGAGUACGAUCGAUAUUACACGGACGUCGCGGCGCCUACUACGCGCAAUUUUCAUGGAAGUAAUUCCUCCUCCUUCUUAUUAUUCCAAUUUAUUUAAUUAUAUUUGACUAUUUCAGAUCAAGACCUUUAUUUUGAUACCAAACACGACAUCACUACGACAAUUUUAAUUUGUAUUUGAAAGAAAUGAUACGAAGCUAAGCAAAUCAUGUUUUUAUGACAAACUUAUCGUUUUCUACUCGUCCUUUAUUUCUAAUGAUUUUGCAAAAAAUAAAAGACGUUUUAAUCACUCCAUCAUGCAAUUUACAUUACUUUUGUAAAUAUUUUAAGGAGGAAGUCCGUCAAAAGGUCAACAAUAAGAGUGUCCACGUGGCCUUUUGAAUAGAUCGAAAUUCAGAGAAACGCCGAAAUCUAGUACUAGGAACCCAUAACGCAAGAAGAGGUUCAAAUAUGAUAGUACCGUUGCAAGUACAGUUUAAUCAUUUUACUAUAGUAAACGCUAAGACUAUUAAGACUAAGGUUCAUUUUUGCUAGCAACUGUUUGGCUCUUUAGUCCUAGACCGACGAGUAGAAAACCACGUUUUUAGACUUCAGGAUAGGAAUUUGUAAAUAUUUCAGGAUUUAUGACAUAAAAUAGUUAUGAUAUGACUUAAAAUCGGUGUAUUACAGCAUAUGGAACAUAAUGUAAGUGAUUUUUGGUGCGAACACCCUUGCCAUACGUUGGGUUGAAAUAUUUUGCACUCAGCGACGUGCAGUCCCUGCUGACACAUUCAACUGACUAACGUACGGCAGACGACGCUCACGUACGGUCGCCGCGCUGGGCUUGGAGUGUUUCAUCAGGUGAUUGAAUAUUUAUACCCAUAAACAUAAUAUUAAUUUGGGAAUAACAGAUAAAAUAAAAUAUUUGUUAUAAAUGGCUAAUAGAUUCAGAUGAAUUGUGAAAACCCUAUUUCAGAUUUACAUAAAUUUAAAGUCAGAGUAAAAACAAAUAGUUUAUGAGAACAUUAUCUUUAAUAGUCAUGGCAUGGGUAACCCAAACGAUAAAAUAAUCACAAGAAGAUCCAUCUCACAAGCGGCACACCUCACCCUUUCUGCAUUAAUCAUUACUAUUACUUCCUACCAUUAAUCCAGUGUCCAUAAUUUCAUAAUUUACUGUCGUUGUUUUUAUUCAUAAACCAGGCAUACCCACGAGUUCAGAUGUCACCAAAUGAAUUCCAAAAAGUAGAUAUAGCCAUCCACCACGAAUUAUAUCUUCUCUUCUAAUAUAUUAUAUUCCCGAGUCACGAUAUUUUUGUAGUGGAUUUUAUUUUUAUGACAAUGACUUGUGAAUUUUAUUGCUAGUCACAUAAUAAUCAUAAUAAUCAUCAUCAUUGGCCUAUAUUCGUCCACUUCUGGACAUAAACCCCUCCAUCAAGAUCUUCUUCGGCUGCUAGGCCCGUUGAAUCGAACAACGGUUAUUAUCCGUAUCAUGUAAGUCGCUUGAACUUUGAUUAAUUAUGUGGAUAUCAAACAGUUACGUUCCGCUGUCAUAAACCACGACCUACAUUUUGACAUCAAACACGACAAGACACUGACUAUUUUAAUGAGUUUCAAUGUAACUUUUUGUCUAACAUAAAUUGUCUUUAGCAUAAACCGUCUCUCGUAUUUAUAAGAAGUAAAAUGAAGAAUAUUUCAGUAGAUAAUGGUGAUUAUUUUGAUUUGAUGUUUAAUUAAAUAAUUGUGUUUUUUCUUUUAAUACUCAGGUGCCACCGUAAGUUUUCAACCUUAAAGUUAAAUGUUUAAACUAUAUUUUGUUAGAAACUUACAGAAUAUUGGCUAAAACGCCAAAGUGAGUAUAUUUUUUACGAUUUUACUUCGAUUUUAUAACCUGAUAGCACGAGGAGAUGGCUUGCACUUGCGUGAAAAAUGCUUUGAAACAAGGAGUGCAUAGGCAUGAAGAGUUGACGUGACAUUGAGAGAGGAGUGCAUCUCACACACACAUCGUUAACGUGUUCACAGUACCUUACACAGCUAGCAAGCUUUCCGGAAGCCUGAAAUAGUUGCUACUAAUAGUAGCUAGUGACUAGGGCAUCAUUAAUUAUGAGAGCAUUUAUUUACGAUUUCAGUGAACAUUCUUAUUUAAGCUAUGUGAUAUUUUUCUUAUAUUUUGUCCUACGAAAUAAGUAUAGAAAUAGACAUUUAUUUUUUAUUCCAUUUCUUGCGGCACUAUUCAUUUAUUAAAAAAAGUGACCAAAACUUCAAAAAUAAUGCAACACCUUCUGUUCAGCUGAAUUUUAGUUGAUUUGACACCCAACGCGGGGCAUGACUAAAUUAUCUAUUAACAAUUUCUAUACAUGACUCUAUUACUUUAUACUCCUCUACACUUUUUAACUGUAUCACAAUAAAUUCUAUGGAAUAAACAGCUACUCAUAUGGACCACUUCACGAUAAAUUUUCCAUACGGAGCGCUCUUUGACUAUGCGUCAAGCUGGCAGCAUGUGGACGGGCGUCGGAUCCCGAAGCAAUCCUCGAAUUUAAUACUAGGGACCGAGAAGUGCAUGGAGUUAACUGUAUUUUAUCAAAAGCACAAGUACCACUACAUGUGCAGGUUUGGUAAUGUAUAACCAAAACGUCAAAGCUUUGAAGUCUACUUUUGUGAGUGUAUUAUAUAAGUAUUAAUAAUAGUAUUUAUAUUGAAUAAUAACAUUACAGGCUGCCGAAUCCAUUAAUCGAUUUUUCAGUAGCCGGUUACAACCACUCUGAGUUCCAACAUUUUGUAUGUUUGAGUCUUGGUGUGUCUUCGGCUGAAAAUGAUUUGCUCAAGGUACAAACAAAACGGGGAAAACAGAGCGUUGAAAACGUUGCUAUUGUAGACAUUGCCAAUGAAGAGUUUGAGAGGAGGUAAAGUAAUAAUACGGAAUAAAAAAGUUCAUUCAAAACCAUAGCAGGAAAAACUCGGCGGUUGCUGGCUAAGAUGCCAUUACUGUUAUUUUUCCCGAAUGACAACCAACUGCUGAGACAGUAGUUGCCACUCGAGCGUGAGCGCGACGCCGCACUAGUGCGGUCUCGCUCUCGCACCGUGGUGACGUAGUUCUCCCACCGGAUGCUCAGGUCACUACACUGUCAUUCAACUAUUCAAAGUCAGUUGAUAUUAUUAUGUUCGACGCAAAUACUCCUUUCUUCUUGAAAAAGCUCUGCAUAUAAUUUCAUUAAUUUAUUUAGGUGCGAAAUAAAAAUGAUCUCAAUUUAAUUACAUUCGAAAAUGUGAUUUCCGACCUGAUAUCCUAUGACGAUCUUACAAAUCAACAAAUAUUAAAUUUAUUUACCUCAUUUUUCAGGUACACAAAUACUUGUUCUAUUUUGACGAAGUUGAGAGCGCGAAACAAGUCCAAAAACUGUGUGAAGCUCGGCCACGCCUCCUGUGAAGCCGGCUUUGUUUGAUUCAUAAUAACACUGUUGAUACUGCCGUAUCUUCAUGGAAAAUGGAUCAUACUCAAGGAUGGUGAAAUUAUGAUGUGUUUUUGUGUUACCGUUUCAAGGUUUUAUGUCAUUAAUAACGAGCAAUUUGCAAAAAACCUUCAUAGACGCCCAUACUUUGAUGCAAAUGUUGAAUGAAGCUAGUGAUCAAACCGUUAAAGUUCUGAAAGUUUGCAUGCAAAACGAGACCUUAUAUUGGAAGGCUUAGGUUAUACGUUUCAGAUACGGCAUGAAGUGGUAUUAACGCUGUUGUUGAUAAUGCAUGUAACUCUCUUUCGCUUCUGCUUCCCUAGUAUUGCAAAUCGAAAUUGUGACGAGAUCCGAAGCCCGGUCACCGCCGCCAGCUCGCUGUAUAGGCAAAGAGCGCCUUGGAUUAAAUCCUAUACGCGAUUCUCAAGAGAUGCAGACAAAUUAUGCGUUUAGUGCGAGGUCCAUAUAAAACCAGACAUUUAUAAAAUAGUUUCUAUCUUUCAAUUCAUUUCAUACGUCAAG